rnacentral:rRNA from 1 species
UACGGGGGGGCAAGCGUUGUUCGGAAUUACUGGGCGUAAAGCGCGCGCAGGCGGUCUUCCAAGUCAGUGGUGAAAGCCCGGAGCUCAACUCCGGAACUGCCAUUGAAACUGUUAGACUUGAGGACGAGAGAGGUGAGUGGAAUUCCCAGUGUAGAGGUGAAAUUCGUAGAUAUUCGGAAGAACACCAGUGGCGAAGGCGGCUCACUGGACUGGUAUUGACGCUGAGGUGCGAAAGCGUGGGGAGCAAACAGG